CAAUAGCGUAUAUUAAAGUUGUUGCAGUUAAAAAGCUCGUAGUUGGAUUUCUGGUGGGAGCGAUCGGUCUGGCGCUUAGCGCGAGUACUUGCAUCGUCUCCGGCCAUCCUUGGGGAGAGUCUGUCUGGCAUUAGGUUGUCGGGCAGAGGAUCCUCAUCGUUUACUGUGAAAAAAUUAGAGUGUUCAAAGCAGGCUUAUGCCGUUGAAUAUAUUAGCAUGGAAUAAUAAGAUAGGACUUUGGUACUAUUUUGUUGGUUUUCGCACCAAAGUAAUGAUUAAUAGGGACAGUUGGGGGUAUUCGUAUUCCGUUGUCAGAGGUGAAAUUCUUGGAUUUACGGAAGACGAACUACUGCGAAAGCAUUUACCAAGGAUGUUUUCAUUAA
rnacentral:rRNA from 1 species